CCUUCCUUCCCUUACCUGUGUGCACGAUCGCUGACGACCGGGUUCAUCGAAUUUUAUUGGGAAAAAAGUCUUCUAUUUUUGCCCCUCUUUUCUUUGGUUUUUCGAUGUCGGUGGUCACCACCGACCAUCAGUUUGACUUCUUUCGAGUUGUAUCGUUGCAGCCCCUCCUGCUGCUGACCACCGUCGCACCGACCAUACUUCUGAUCGACCGAACAA
rnacentral:lncRNA from 1 species